rnacentral:rRNA from 1 species
CGAACGCUUCUUUCCUCCCGAGUGCUUGCACUCAAUUGGAAAGAGGAGUGGCGCGACUGGGUGAGUAACACGUGGGUAACCUACCCAUCAGAGGGGGAUAACACUUGGAAACAGGUGCUAAUACCGCAUAACAGUUUAUGCCGCAUGGCAUAAGAGUGAAAGGCGCUUUCGGGUGUCGCUGAUGGAUGGACCCGCGGUGCAUUAGCUAGUUGGUGAGGUAACGGCUCACCAAGGCCACGAUGCAUAGCCGACCUGAGAGGGUGAUCGGCCACACUGGGACUGAGACACGGCCCAGACUCCUACGGGAGGCAGCAGUAGGGAAUCUUCGGCAAUGGACGAAAGUCUGACCGAGCAACGCCGCGUGAGUGAAGAAGGUUUUCGGAUCGUAAAACUCUGUUGUUAGAGAAGAACAAGGACGUUAGUAACUGAACGUCCCCUGACGGUAUCUAACCAGAAAGCCACGGCUAACUACGUGCCAGCAGCCGCGGUAAUACGUAGGUGGCAAGCGUUGUCCGGAUUUAUUGGGCGUAAAGCGAGCGCAGGCGGUUUCUUAAGUCUGAUGUGAAAGCCCCCGGCUCAACCGGGGAGGGUCAUUGGAAACUG